GGAGAUCAUCCAACCGAGGUAUGGGAAACCUGUACCGUGUAGUUAUUUUAUUGAUAGCUCGGCUAUCAACACACAUGCGCCACGACCGGUCCUUCUUUGGAAUAAGCAACGCUGGAACCGCGCACGGGCUUAAGCUCUCACGAACAUAACCCUUGAUCAGUAAGUCUUCAACUUGUCGUCGAAGUUCUUCGUGCUCCUCCGGACUCAUACGAUAAUGUGCUCGAUUCGGUAGGACGGCGUUUGGUACGAGGUCAAUAUGAUGUUGUAUGUCCCUCAAUGGGGGUAAACCUGCUGGCAAUUCAUCCGGAAAGAGAUCCUCGAACUCUUGUAGGAUUGGUGAAAAUGCCGGUGGGCAAGGGUGGGUGGGACGGCGUUGGGUUAGCCGCGACCAAAGCAAAUAGUGGUCGGGUGUCUUGAAGCUCCUGUUCGAACUGGGACUUCGAUAUGAUUAACAAAUUCUGUUUUGAAAUUGUUGUUGGUGUCGCGGGUGAGUUGCUCGUAUGAUCAGUGUCUGGCGAUGGAAGUAGUGUGAUCUUGCGGCCUUCGAACAUAAAAGAAUUGGUAUUUGUCUUGCCGUUGUGGAUCACUUCGCGAUCAAAUUGCCAAGGGCGACCGAGGAUAAUAUGAGAUACGUCCAUAGGAGCGAUAUCACAAUAUAAAUCAUCCUUGUAGAAUGAACCAAUGGAGAGAGACAGCAGAGUUCGUUUGGAAACGAAAACCUCAGCCCCCGUUUGCAUCCAUAGGAGGCGGUAUGGGUGUGGGUGUGGUUCGGGUUUAAGGGCAAGCUUACGAACGGCUUUUUCAGAAACCACGUUUGCCGAGCACCCAGAGUCAAUCACAAAGCGACAUAUCUUGCCCUUGACUGUACAGGUUGAGCUAAAUAAAGAGGUUCGUUGCCAUGCUUCAUCUGUCUUCGGGGCGAGACAGUUGCGGCGGAGCAUGAGAAACGUUCCCGUAUCGCCAUGUAUCGGUGGAACAGAACAUCGUUGUUAUCAAGGCUAAUCAUGACUACAAAGGUGUUUGCCAUGUUGCGUUUGCACAAGAAGGUCAUUGCAGGCCAGGAGAGGUUUGGUUAAGAACAGACUCACACGCAUGUACUGCUGGAGCAUUUGGUCAGUUUGCUAAGGGAUUGGAAACACUGAUGCAGGCUUUGUGUUAGGCACUGGACAAAUCCUUCUCAAGGUUUGUUAAGAAAAGUUUAUUUUUUUUAAGAAACCCAAAUUAAGAAACUACCAUUGUAGCUCAAAAAUUAAGUUAAAAUUUAUUAGUUAAAUAAUUAUUAAAGUGUAUUUAAAAAACCUUAUAAGUUUUUAGGGAUAAUCAAAUUAAGUUCUUUAUUACCAAACGCAAGGAUAAACGUGGAUGACCGCAUCAAGACAUGUUACUAAUCCCGAAACCUUAAGCAAACUUCAAUAUUGUAUGUAAUAAAGAACACUACAAAUAAUACAAUAUAGAAUAAUAUAACUAUUAAUUUAUCUUUAAGAAACAAAUGUCAAACCAUAGAGUAACAUCAUUUUUUCUGAAGAAAAGGUACUAACAUCAUUUUCUCCCUUUCUUUUAUUGCUAAGACGGCCGAAUGAUAUAAUAACUGAACAAAAACUACAAUUUCACAAAACUGGACGACUGCUAAAAAGUAUAAAAUGGUACCAUUCUAUCGUUUUGGGGAUUACUAAUCAGACUUUUAAAUAAUAUUCUAGUCGUAUACUAUUGAUCGCAUAUGUAUUAAUACAAAGAUAUUCUUUUUUGUCAACUUACAAAGAGUUAUUCAUUUAUACAUUUUAGUUGAUUUAUAAUUUUAAAUUUAACAAAUAGAUUUUUGAUUAGUAUUUGCAAAUCCAUAUGAUUUCUUUCAGGUUUAUGUUUUUUUUUUUUUGUAUUUUUAACAUAGUGAUGUAUAAAACCAAGAAACCUAAGAUGUCAUUUUCCUUGUUAACCACUAUAUGCAACCACUCCAUACUUCCAUUCCGUGACAACCUAGAAAACUAAAACACAUCUGUAUUAUAAGAAUAUUAACAUCAUUAAGCGUUGUCCAAAAAAAUAACAUCAUUAAGCCAGCUAAUUGCAUUUCUUAUGAUUCAAUGGGACAUCUCAGACUCUUUUCCUCCGUAUAUAUAGGAUAUGACCUCAUAUAUAUGAUGAUAAAACGCACGUUUCAUUUGACAUCUUAUAAAACUAUACAAGUAGUUUAACACCUUCAAACUAAGAACAAUCACAAUUCAUCCAUAGUGUUGCUCCCUAUAUAGAGUUCUGAAGAUGGCACAAUAAUGGCCGGGGGCGAAGCUACCUUUGUGGGUGGAUGGGACAGGUGCCCACUAUAAAAAAAUUAUUGUAAUUUUGUACCAAAUUUUGAAAAUGCCCCUGAUAAAAAUUUAAAUUUAUAAAUGUAUGUAAUAGUAUUUUUUUAAAAUUUUCCCUGGAUGAAUUGUUCAGAUCCUGGCGGCAUGAAUCGCUCUGUCCUCUUUAUGCUACAUGUUGUAACACCUAGCAGAAAGACAGAAACCAAUAACCAUGCAUGAAAAUAUUAGUGUUGGAAUAUAAUAUUUAACGUUUGAAUAGCACGGAAAUUGUCACCAAACAAGAAUUCUACAAAGAAAAAAUUCCAUACAAAAUCACCUAGAAAAUAUUGUUUAGUGACGAAAGGUUCCAAACGCAUAUAUAUAAUAAGGUCAACCUGUGCCGUCUCACUAAGAUUGAAAAAAAUAUCGUCAAGGUGAAGGUUGGCAAAAGCAGAUUAGUAACCUUAAUUUUUUUUUACCAUACUAUAAACUGACUCUAAACAAAUAAGUCUAGUUAGAUGUUGAAUUAUGUAUUUUAAACCAAAAUUUAGACUAGAAGUUCGAACGUAUUUUUUGAAUAGUGAGUUAGGGGGUGAUGAUUAAUGAAUAAUUUAGGGACAAAAUAAGUUGUAAAUAUCGUUUAUAUUAGAAGUAAAUUGAUAUCAAAAGAGAUUACAAAUGUGAAGUGAGUUAAAUGUUAGAAUCGAGCUCGCUAUACAAUAAGAGUCGAGGUUGAUAAGUUAUCUUCCCAAAAAAAUCAUUCAUUUGCUCAGUCAAUAGAGCUCUACUUUUAUAGUUGCGGGAUAAUUCGGAUGGGACAAGGAAGACAGCUCGUUGUCCUUAUUGAUGAAGUCACAUAUUUGAUUCUCUAUCAGGUGAGGUCACAAAUUCUUUGUGAUGCGGAUGCAGCUUGCUUUGUCACCAUGCAUCAAACGCAGGUCAAACUGUAUCAUCCGUACUCGUUGAGUGAGUCAACACACUCUUUUUCGAGCAUGGAUGUGAAGUCGUCAUGUCAAUUUCAUCGUCCUCUUUUGUCUAUUAACGAAUUAGGUUUCCGUUAUUCUUGCUCUCUUCAAAUUCAAUCCUCUCUUUUUAGAACUGGGCCGAACAUUAGCGGGAUGCGACACCCAUCUUCAAUAGUAUUUAUUUCAAAAAAAAAUACAAGAUUUGUAAACAGCGUUGCAUUUAAAGUAGAUUGAAUGUAAAAUAUAACAGAUUUCUCCUUAAUCAUUUUAAGAAGUCCAAACUUAGGGGGUGCUGUUGGCAUAAGAAUGUUUAUAAAAUAAAAAAUUUGAGAUUCCAUUGUUAUUAAUAGACGAAUUCUUUAAAAAAAAUUAGCAUAGUACAUUAUUAUUGGUUUGAGGAUUUUAAAAUUCAUUUAAAUGUUUUUGUUUUUAUACAUCAUUCAUUUCAAUCUUUUGUUAUUCAAAACAAAAGUGUAGUUAUAGUUGAUUCUAUAUUUUUAACUAACUCCAUUGUUAGUGGGAAAUGAAUUCUCUACAUUUUAUUUAUAAACGCACAACUACUUUCAAAAUUUCAUAUAUAUAUAUAUAUGAGAUUUUCAAUACUAUGUAAUAAAAAAUUAAAAAAAAACAGAGUAACUAUUGUUAGCAAAGAUAUAAUUAAUCAUAUUUUAUAUUUUAUUAUAAUAUUAUAUUUUAAAGGUGUUUUAACGAUUAAAUAAAAUGACAAUUUGCUGAAUAUUCAUAAGGAGCACUAAAAUGAAGAAUAUAGCAAUUCUACAGCAAAAGCCCAUCGAUGUGACAAGUUCACCUAAAAUUGCCCGUAAUAACCUCCGAAGCGCGUGUGCGUGCAAAUGACUCCAACGCACAUGCUUUACUAUACUAUAUAAAAUGUAAUAUAGUCUCAAAAGACAACCCUUAAACCCUAAACCCAAACCGUAUACUUUAAACCCAAACCCUAAACCUAACUUCUUAACUCAAACCGUAACCAUAACGGAGCUACCUAAACCCUAAACCAAAACUGUAAACCAUAAACCCAAACUCUAAACACAAAUUCUUAACCCAAACCAUAGACUCAAACGGAGCUACCUAAACCUUAAACCCUAAACCCCCUAAACCCAAAUUCUAAACCCUAACCUAAACCCUAACCUUGAAGGUCUAAACCCAAACCGUAAACCCUAAACCCAAACCCUAAAUCCUAACUCCCCUAAACCCAAACUCUAAACUUUAAACUCAAACUGUAAACCCUUAACCCAAACCCUAAACCCAAAUUGUAAAACCAAACCAUCGCCCAUAACGGAGCUACCUAAACCCUAACCUUGAAGGUCUAAAAUACACUAUAUUUCAUUUAGAAUAGUAUGGCAAUUGAUGAUAGUUACUAUAUUGAUGAUUGGGAAAAGGAGGAAAAUGGAUAGGUGAGGAACAGGAGGGGAGGAGGAGGAGGAAGGAGGAAGGAGGAAAGAUAAAAGUAUGGAGGAAAGGAAGGACGAAUAGAGAGAAAGACAGAGAGAGAUCGGGGAAGGGAGGGGAGGAGAGAAAGAGUAGGAGGGAGUGUAAGAGUGAAAGCAACAUAAGAAGAAACUAUACUAUUUUGAUGAAUAGAUUAGUAUACUAUAAUGUAAUGUUUAUUCAAAUAUUGUAUGAAAGCUAUAUAAACUGUCAAUACAAACAUGUAUGUGAAUCUCCAUUAACUUAGAGCAUUCAUUCAACACAAUAGAAAAAUAAUACCAUUUAUAAAGCAUGAAAUUUCAAAA